rnacentral:rRNA from 3 species
GGACUACCGGGGUUUCUAAUCCCGUUUGCUCCCCUGGCUUUCGCGCCUCAGCGUCAGUUGAGGUCCAGCACGCCGCUUUCGCCACCGGAGUUCCAUUGGAUAUCAACGCAUUUCACCGCUCCACCCAAUGUUCCGCAUGCCCCUACCUCACUCGAGGCCGCCAGUAUCAAAAGCUGUUCUCCAGUUGAGCUGGAGUAUUUCACCCCUGACUUGGCGGCCCGCCUACGCGCCCUUUAAGCCCAGUGAUUCCGAACAACGUUCGCACGGUUCGUCUUACCGCGGCUGCUGGCAC